GGAGGGAUGGGAGAGUGGUUUAAUCCAGCGGUCUUGAAAACCGCCGUACCGCAAGGUACCGUGAGUUCGAAUCUCACUCCCUCUGCCA
rnacentral:tRNA from 3 species